rnacentral:tRNA from 1 species
CGUGGCGUAGCGCAGUCCGGUAGUGCGUGAGGAUCAUAAACUAAAGGUCCUUGGUUUGAAUCCAAGCGCCGCAACCA